rnacentral:rRNA from 1 species
CCUGGUGACAAUGGCGGAGGGGAAACACCCGUACCCAUCCCGAACACGGCAGUUAAGCCCUCCAGCGCCGAUGGUACUGCAGCUUAAGCUGUGGGAGAGUAGGUCGUUGCCAGGA